CAUGUAUAACUUAAUGAUGAACUACAUAAUUAUUUUUCGUGCUACAGUAAAAAGAAAAAAGACCAUGGCAAAGAUAAAUCCUCAAAAGAUGUCAUACGUUCGAGAUUUCUCGGUAAAUGUUCUUGGACAUACAUAUUUAGAUUAAUACUACUAGAACCUUAUUCAAACUUAACAUAUCGACAACAAAAUAUGAAAUUUCUAAUACCAUGGUCUCUCCAUACUUGAACUAAGUAAGAGUACAUACUCCAUUUAUAGUAUUUUGUCUAGCAAAUCAAGAAACUAACGUGUAGUCAUACUUUAAGUGGACAUCUAAAUUGAGAUCUUUAAGUUAACAAAUACAUUCAGUAUUUUAAAGGACCAUAAUAAGCACGUGAAAAAAGAGAUGUUGCUAUAAACAAGUGUCCGGGAAAUU
rnacentral:lncRNA from 1 species